rnacentral:tRNA from 1 species
AAAAUCCGUCGACUUUAUAAAUCGUGAGGGUUCAAGUCCCU